GAUGAACGCUGGCGGUAUGCUUAACACAUGCAAGUCGAAUGGUCACUUCGGUGAUAGUGGCGGACGGGUGAGUAACGCGUGAGAAUCUGUCUUCAGGUCGGGGACAACAGUUAGAAAUGACUGCUAAUACCGGAUGUGCCUUUGGGUGAAAGAUUUAUUGCCUGAAAAAGAGCUCGCGUCAGAUUAGCUAGUAGGUGGUGUAAGAGACUACCUAGGCUCCGAUCUGUAGCUGGUCUGAGAGGACGAUCAGCCACACUGGAACUGAGACACGGUCCAGACUCCUACGGGAGGCAGCAGUGGGGAAUUUUCCGCAAUGGGCGAAAGCCUGACGGAGCAAUACCGCGUGAGGGACGAAGGCUUUUGGGUCGUAAACCUCUUUUCUCAAGGAAGAUGAUGACGGUACUUGAGGAAUAAGCAUCGGCUAACUCUGUG
rnacentral:rRNA from 1 species